AUGAGAUCUGAGCGGUUGUUAUUGGUGUGUCGUUGUUGGUGGCUCGGAUCGCGUGAACAGGGGUGUCACGCGAUUUGGAGAGGUAGCUCUGACGGUAGAGGUUACAGAUGGUGGCGGUGGAGUGAAGUACAGAGAAAAGAUAGUGAAGCAGUAAUUAUUUUUUCUUUUUGUACUGUAAUUGUUUUUCUCCCUCUCUCUCUCUCUUGUACUUGUCCCUGUACUGUUUUUGUCCGGCCCUUUUCCUUCCAUUUUGUUUUGAUUUUAUAG